GACGAAGGGUGCAAGCGUUAUUCGGAAUCAUUGGGCGUAAAGCGUGCGUAGACGGCUAUCUAAGUCGGGUGUGAAAGCCCCGGGCUCAACCUGGGAAUUGCAUUCGAGACUGAAUAGCUAGGGUACGGUAGAGGGAAGUGGAAUUUCCGGUGUAGCGGUGAAAUGCGUAGAUAUCGGAAGGAACAUCAGUGGCGAAAGCGACUUCCUGGACCAGUACCGACGUUCAGGCACGAAAGCGUGGGGAGCAAACAGG
rnacentral:rRNA from 1 species